UACAGAGGGUGCGAGCGUUAAUCGGAAUUACUGGGCGUAAAGCGCACGUAGGUGGCUUUGCAAGUCGAUUGUGAAAUCCCCGGGCUUAACCUGGGAACUGCAGUCGAGACUGCUCCGCUUGAGUAUGGGAGAGGGAGGUGGAAUUUCCGGUGUAGCGGUGAAAUGCGUAGAUAUCGGAAGGAACAUCAGUGGCGAAAGCGACUUCCUGGACCAAUACUGACGCUCAUGUGCGAAAGCGUGGGGAGCGAACAGG
rnacentral:rRNA from 1 species